rnacentral:lncRNA from 1 species
UCUUCUCGAGAGUGCUAGCUCAUUAUAAGACUUUCUUCUUGGCUGAACUGGAUCCUUUCUUCAAAUCUUUAGAAUUUUUUUAGAGAUUGAAGAUGAACUUCUGUAGGAGAUGAAGAGGUAAAAAAAAAGAUGAAGAAAAAAUAAUUUUUUUUUAUUUAUUCUCUCUUCCCAAACCCUUAAAAUCAAAAAUUUGAAAUUCAGAUUUUUGCACACACCCCA